GACGAACGCUGGCGGCGUGCUUAACACAUGCAAGUCGAACGGAAAGGCCCUGCUUUUGUGGGGUGCUCGAGUGGCGAACGGGUGAGUAACACGUGAGUAACCUGCCCUUGACUUUGGGAUAACUUCAGGAAACUGGGGCUAAUACCGGAUAGGAGCUCCUGCUGCAUGGUGAGGGUUGGAAAGUUUCGGCGGUUGGGGAUGGACUCGCGGCUUAUCAGCUUGUUGGUGGGGUAGUGGCUUACCAAGGCUUUGACGGGUAGCCGGCCUGAGAGGGUGACCGGCCACAUUGGGACUGAGAUACGGCCCAGACUCCUACGGGAGGCAGCAGUGGGGAAUAUUGCACAAUGGGCGGAAGCCUGAUGCAGCAACGCCGCGUGCGGGAUGACGGCCUUCGGGUUGUAAACCGCUUUCGCCUGUGACGAAGCGUGAGUGACGGUAAUGGGUAAAGAAGCACCGGCUAACUACGUGCCAGCAGCCGCGGUGAUACGUAGGGUGCGAGCGUUGUCCGGAUUUAUUGGGCGUAAAGGGCUCGUAGGUGGUUGAUCGCGUCGGAAGUGUAAUCUUGGGGCUUAACCCUGAGCGUGCUUUCGAUACGGGUUGACUUGAGGAAGGUAGGGGAGAAUGGAAUUCCUGGUGGAGCGGUGGAAUGCGCAGAUAUCAGGAGGAACACCAGUGGCGAAGGCGGUUCUCUGGGCCUUUCCUGACGCUGAGGAGCGAAAGCGUGGGGAGCGAACAGGCUUAGAUACCCUGGUAGUCCACGCUGUAAACGGUGGGUACUAGGUGUGGGGUCCAUUCCACGGGUUCCGUGCCGUAGCUAACGCUUUAAGUACCCCGCCUGGGGAGUACGGCCGCAAGGCUAAAACUCAAAGGAAUUGACGGGGCCCCGCACAAGCGGCGGAGCAUGCGGAUUAAUUCGAUGCAACGCGUAGAACCUUACCUGGGUUUGACAUGGAUCGGGAGUGCUCAGAGAUGGGUGUGCCUCUUUUGGGGUCGGUUCACAGGUGGUGCAUGGCUGUCGUCAGCUCGUGUCGUGAGAUGUUGGGUUAAGUCCCGCAACGAGCGCAACCCUUGUUCACUGUUGCCAGCACGUUAUGGUGGGGACUCAGUGGAGACCGCCGGGGUCAACUCGGAGGAAGGUGGGGAUGACGUCAAGUCAUCAUGCCCCUUAUGUCCAGGGCUUCACGCAUGCUACAAUGGCUGGUACAGAGAGUGGCGAGCCUGUGAGGGUGAGCGAAUCUCGGAAAGCCGGUCUCAGUUCGGAUUGGGGUCUGCAACUCGACCUCAUGAAGUCGGAGUCGCUAGUAAUCGCAGAUCAGCAACGCUGCGGUGAAUACGUUCCCGGGGCU
rnacentral:rRNA from 1 species